rnacentral:misc_RNA from 1 species
GAUGAAGAACGUAGCGAAAUGCGAUAAGUAAUGUGAAUUGCAGAAUUCAGUGAAUCAUCGAAUCUUUGAACGCACAUUGCGCCCGCCAGUAUUCUGGCGGGCAUGCCUGUUCGAGUGUCAUUUCAACCAUCAAGCCCCCGGCUUGUGUUGGGGACCUGCGGCUGCCGCAGGCCCUGAAAAGCAGUGGCGGGCUCGCUGUCACACCGAGCGUAGUAGCAUACAUCUCGCUCUGGGCGUGCUGCGGGUUCCGGCCGUUAAACCACCUUCAUAACCCAAGGUUGACCUCGGAUCAGGUAGGAAGACCCGCUGAACUUAAGCAUAUCAAUAAGCGGAGGA